rnacentral:rRNA from 1 species
UACGUAGGGUGCGAGCGUUAAUCGGAUUUACUGGGCGUAAAGCGUGCGCAGGCGGCCCGUUAAGACAGGUGUGAAAUCCCUGGGCUCAACCUAGGAAUUGCGCUUGUGACUGGCGGGCUCGAGUACGGUAGAGGGGGGUGGAAUUCCUGGUGUAGCAGUGAAAUGCGUAGAGAUUUGGAGGAACACCGAUGGCGAAGGCAGCCCCCUGGGCCUGUACUGACGCUCAUGCACGAAAGCGUGGGGAGCAAACAGG